AUACCACAUCGGAAAUAUGAAAGGGACUUGAGUAAUAUAUAAGAGACUUGGACCAAUCCACUAAUUGCCAAUUGGUUUUAAUUUGUAAGGCCAGGAAACUUGUCAUGGUAUCAGAGCCGACCCAACACCCUGACCCAUUAAUCCAUCCCGGGCAGUGGCCCGAUCAUCCCAUUAGCUGAUAGCCCAUAGAAGGCUCAGUUCCACCGAAAUCGCUAGAAAAAUAAAGCAUGAUCUCGGAGGGGUAUGAUGGAUUCUGCGAGAUUAAUGGUUAUACGCACCAUUAUCUCGAAAGAGGGUAUUGGAGAGAAGAUCCCACAUCGGAAAUAUGAAAGGGACUUGAGUAAUAUAUAAAGGACUUGGACCAAUCCACUAAUUGUCAAUUGGUUUUAAAUUGGAAGCCAGGAAAUAUUAGUUGGAGUAUUGAAGUCUCGUAUGGUUGAGGCUUGAAGUUUGGAGUUAAUGAUCAAGCUGGGUUUACAUGUUUUCACUUCCUUUUCAUUUUGUGGUUGAAAAUUGAUCCGUAUGGUUCUGUUGGAACACGCUUUUGCCUUUAUAUAUAACCAAGCAAUCUUGGGCCUAAGUAAUAAUAGUUUUAUUCAUUGUCAACCUUUAGUCCUAGCUACUAAUAGUUUCAUUCAUUGUCACGUUAAUGGCAUAUAAAACAAGAGAAACUGAAUUGCCAAAGAUAUGUAAUAUAUAUGGAAUGAAAAGGGAAUAGAUGAACGUUUAAAAGAUAUAUUUGAAUUACUCUAUCUAUCUUCUAUCGUGUACACUUUAUUAUAUUCUACUUUAAUUUCCAGAAGAUCUACCAUGGCAGACAUAGAGAUGGCUCCUCUGUUAAGAGAUCAAAAUGCGGUGGAGGAAGGCGGAGAUAUAUGGAUAGAGACGAAGAAGCUAUGGAGUAUUGUUGGACCGGCAAUAUUCACAAGAGUCAAGAUAUAUUUAUUCUUUCUCAUCACUCAGUCGUUCGCGGGCCAUCUUGGCGAGCUCGAACUCGCUGCCAUCUCCAUCGUCAUCAACAUCAUCAUCGGCUUCACCUACGGCCUUCUGCCCCGAUUCUUCAGUUUCUUGGCCAGCCAGAAGACAUCGCCCAGCUCUCUGGUACCGCCACUGUUUUGACCAUUCCUCUCCACUUUGCAUUUGUCUUCGUGUGCCCUAUCAACCGAUUUCUCCAAUGCCAGCUCAAGAAUGAAGUGCUAGCAAUAACGGCUGGAGCGACACUUGUAGUUCACAUAUUUGUGUCCUGGCUUUUUGUGUACGGUCUUAAGCUUGGAUUCAUAUGGACCAUGAUUACUUUUACUUUGUCAUGGUGGCUCAAUGCCAUCAUCUUGUUUGUUUACAUCGUAUGGGGAGGUUGUCCGCUCACUUGGACCGGUUUCUCCAUGGAAGCUUUCAUGGGACUAUGGGAAUACGCUAAGCUCUCUGCCUCCUCCGGAAUCAUGCUGUGGUACUAGAUAUUGGUUUAGACGCCAUUUGUAUCGCAUUUUUUCUUAUGCUAUACAUAUCGAAAGCAACUUACGGUAGAUUUUUAUCGAGAGACAGCUUGGAGUUUUGGUAUUAUAGGAUUUUAAUUCUGAUGACUGGAAAUUUGGAGGAUGCAAAAACUGCUGUUGACUCUUUGUCUAUAUGCAUGUCGAUAAAUGGUUUGGAGAUGAUGAUUCCACUUGCUUUCUUCGCCGGGGCCGGGUAACUAAUCAAUCAUAUUUUAUAUAUAUGUGUGUGUGUGUGUGUUUGAUUUAGUAAUUUGGUUUAUAUUACCAUGCAUGAUUCCAUCUAGCUACAAAAACUUUUCAUUUAAUACAGUAGACAAGGAGAGAUGUGCAAACAAAAGAAUAAUAUUUUUGUAACGUGGAAUUAUGCUAACGGUUUGGUCUAGCCAUGAUGGAAACCAUUAGUUUGAAUAAAGUAAAUUAAAAGGAUUCCGCCACUGUUUGAUAGAGCCACAGAAACAUCACGAUGUAAGCGGAAAUGAAGUUUACGGCAUUUUCCUUUGUUCAUGCAUAUCAUCAUGCAUCAGCAAUCUUUCUUCAAAUAUCCUCGUGGAAUUUGUGUGUGGCCAAAUAACUGUGUUGCCUACUAGUAGUCUUUUAUGGUUGGUAUACCUUGAUAAAGACCGGUUAGAUCUAAGAGCAUGUUUAAUGGGAGAUUCUUAGGAUGUGAUUCUUAGCGGAAUAUAAAAACUCGUCUCUUAAAUUUUUUCAUAAUUAUGGAUGGUUACGCGCCGGAUUUCGAUGAUAAUUUAUGUUUCAGUGAAAUUUAAAUUAAUUUUAUGGUCUUGAAAAAUAAAGUAUCCGUCAAAGAUAUAAAGAUGUAUUAAUUUUUUUUUAAUUUUUUUUCACUCCUGCAUCAUUGCUCCUAAAAUUAUUUUAAAAGAAAAAGAAAUUCCAAUAUAUGGAUAAAAAUAUAUUAGCAUUUUACAUCAGAGUAUUUUGUAACAUUUUGUAUUAUAUUUGUUGAUUUUGAAAUAAUUUGUAAUAAUUAGAUCUAAUGUUUUUACAUUUUACAAAGAGAAAUAUGUAUACUUGUAAUAAUUAGAUAUAGUUCUUCAACAUUUUAGAAAGAGAGAUAUGUAUACUGUUUAGAUACACUUCAUUUAAUUUUCGAGGAUCCAUUCAAAAGUUAAAUGUGGAUUACUUUUGUUACAAUGAAACUAUAGUGUGGUAAAGACCAAGCAAAUAUUAUUAUAUGUAAUCACAUUUUUCCGGCCGAACUGCGAUUCAUUAAACUAAAAGCAAGUUUACCCGACACAAAGAAAGGGCAAGCUUAGAGAUAAGAGCGUUGAAUUUGCCACUGCAUCAGCCUCUGCAUUCAAUAAUCUAUGAAUAUUAUAGAAAGAUUUAAGAUUUAAAGAAGCUGCUGAAUUGUUAUAUCAAAUAAAAUGUCGUUAAUCUCCUUGGUGAAUCCUUAUCGUGCAGCAUUCUAACUAACACUUGCGAAUUAGACAAUAUUUUAAUAUCAAGACACAAAAAUGAAGAAUACUUUUGUUUUUCAUUAGGAAGAAUAUAAUACCUAUAAAACAUACACAAAUGAUAUAAUAUUCUCUUAUUUCAGCCGCUUUUGAUUUAAUUUCAAUUGCCAUUUGUUUUAGAUUCAAAGGAUUGGUUAUAUGUUUUCGUGAAUCUUUAUUACGUGUGAGUUUUCCUUAUAUACCGGAUUAUGAUAUUUAGAGCUGAAUUAUGAUUGACUAAAUCAUAUAAUAUAGGAGAAUUUGCCAAAACUAACCCACAACUUGAUUUUAACCUCAAACUUAUACUCAAACUUGAAUCAAAUGCAAAACUAACAUAAAAUCCUUGUGAAA